GGAGUUAGCCGGUGCUUCUUCUGCGAGUAACGUCACAGAUGUAAGGUAUUAACUUACACCCUUUCCUCCUCGCUGAAAGUGCUUUACAACCCGAAGGCCUUCUUCACACACGCGGCAUGGCUGCAUCAGGGUUUCCCCCAUUGUGCAAUAUUCCCCACUGCUGCCUCCCGUAGGAGUCUGGGCCGUGUCUCAGUCCCAGUGUGGCUGAUCAUCCUCUCAGACCAGCUAGGGAUCGUCGCCUAGGUGAGCCUUUACCUCACCUACUAGCUAAUCCCACCUGGGCUUAUCCAUCAGCGCAAGGCCCGAAGGUCCCCUGCUUUCCCCCGUAGGGCGUAUGCGGUAUUAGCAGUCGUUUCCAACUGUUAUCCCCCACAAAUGGGCAAAUUCCCAGGCAUUACUCACCCGUCCGCCGCUCGUCAUCUUCAAAAGCAAGCUUUUGAAAUGUUACCGCUCGACUUGCAUGUGUUAGGCCUGCCGCCAGCGUUCAAUCUGAACCAGAUCAAAUUCUGA
rnacentral:rRNA from 1 species